UUUCCGUAGGUGGACCUGCGGAAGGAUCAUUAACACGUUUCGUUCCGAACGUUUUCUGACCCAUUCUAUUUUCCGUGCACUUUCAACCCGGCCUCCCGACCUCUCCUCUCAGUUUAUUCUGUCUGUGAUUGUGCCGGGCGUCGUUGGGGUUCAUAGGAGUCUUUGUUCCGAAAAAUUGUCCGGGCGUAAUGCUCGUCGUUUUAGUAGAAACUUAGACACCUCCCAAGGGCGUUGCCAAAUAACCCAAAACCCCUUAAAUCUAAUUGCUCUGAACUCGUAAGUUGGGAUCAAACUCCUCGGGGGGAUGUAUCAACGACAAAAAAACAAAAAAACAACUCUUAACAAUGGAUAUCUUGGUUCUC
rnacentral:misc_RNA from 1 species